GACGAACGCUGGCGGCGUGCUUAACACAUGCAAGUCGAACGAAGUGGCGAACGGGUGAGUAACGCGUAAACAACCUGCCCUUCAGAGGGGGACAACAGUUGGAAACGACUGCUAAUACCGCAUACUGAAGGAGGGGAUUGCGUCGGAUUAGCUAGUUGGAGGGGUAACGGCCCACCAAGGCGAUGAUCAGUAGCCGGUCUGAGAGGAAGAACGGCCACAUUGGGACUGGGAAACGGCCCAGACUCCUACGGGAGGGAGCAGUGGGGAAUCGUCCGAAAUGGGCGAAAGUCUGACGGAGCAACGCCGCGUGAGUGAUGACGGCCUGCGGGUUGUAAAGCUCUGUUAAUCGGGACGCGGUACCGGAAUAGAAAGCCACGGCUAACUACGUGCCAGCAGCCGCGGUAAUAC
rnacentral:rRNA from 1 species